rnacentral:rRNA from 1 species
AUUGAACGCUGGCGGCAGGCUUAACACAUGCAAGUCGAGCGGGGGAAGGUAGCUUGCUACCGGACCUAGCGGCGGACGGGUGAGUAAUGCUUAGGAAUCUGCCUAUUAGUGGGGGACAACAUCUCGAAAGGGAUGCUAAUACCGCAUACGUCCUACGGGAGAAAGCAGGGGAUCUUCGGACCUUGCGCUAAUAGAUGAGCCUAAGUCGGCUUAGCUAGUUGGUGGGGUAAAGGCCUACCAAGGCGACGAUCUGUAGCGGGUCUGAGAGGAUGAUCCGCCACACUGGGACUGAGACACGGCCCAGACUCCUACGGGAGGCAGCAGUGGGGAAUAUUGGACAAUGGGGGGAACCCUGAUCCAGCCAUGCCGCGUGUGUGAAGAAGGCCUUAUGGUUGUAAAGCACUUUAAGCGAGGAGGAGGCUACUUUAGUUAAUACCUAGAGAUAGUGGACGUUACUCGCAGAAUAAGCACUGGCUAACUCUGUGCCAGCCGCCGCCGUAA